AGACACAUUACUCACAGCCUGAUCUCCUGGCCCCUGGAAGAAGCUUGGUGUGAAUGAUGUCCGGGGCCUAACAAAGCAAGGGUGCUCCAACAACUGUGGCAUGUUUGUUUUGAUGGUCCGAAGAAAACCGAUUGCAGGACAGAAAAAGGCGACAACAGCAAAGAGGGCAACAGAGGAAGCAGAGAACUAGACAGAACUGGGAAUGGGAUCAAACAUGUUUAGGCCUGGGGUAAAAAUAAAAAUCAAUGAUGC